AUUGAACGCUGGCGGCAUGCUUUACACAUGCAAGUCGAACGGUAACAGGCCUUCGGGCGCUGACGAGUGGCGAACGGGUGAGUAAUGCAUCGGAACGUGCCCGAUCGUGGGGGAUAACGCAGCGAAAGCUGUGCUAAUACCGCAUACGAUCUACGGAUGAAAGCGGGGGACCUGUAAGGGCCUCGCGCGAUCGGAGCGGCCGAUAUCAGAUUAGCUUGUUGGUGGGGUAAAAGCCCACCAAGGCGACGAUCAGUAGCUGGUCUGAGAGGACGACCAGCCACACUGGGACUGAGACACGGCCCAGACUCCUACGGGAGGCAGCAGUGGGGAAUUUUGGACAAUGGGCGCAAGCCUGAUCCAGCAAUGCCGCGUGCAGGAAGAAGGCCUUCGGGUUGUAAACUGCUUUGUACGGAACGAAAAGGUCUGGGUUAAUACCCUGGGCUCAUGACGGUACCGUAAGAAUAAAGCACCGGCUAACUACGUGCCA
rnacentral:rRNA from 1 species